rnacentral:pre_miRNA from 1 species
CAUAAAGUAGAAAGCACUACUAGACGGCACUGCACGGUGUAGUGUUUCCUACUUUAUGGA